rnacentral:lncRNA from 1 species
AGGCAGAGGUUGCAGUGCGCCAAGAUCAAGCCACUGCACUCCAGCCUGGGCAACAAAGAGCUAGACUCUGUCUCAGGAAAAAAAAAAAAAAAAACUAAUAAAUGAAAUAAAUUAUGCUUUAAAACAAAGACCCCAUCACAGGACUCAGAUUACUCAUGGAGUUUCACCUUAGAAAUAACAGCCCAAUUUUCAGUAUUAACCAUAUUUGGAAAAAAUUUACCAAAGAAAAACCAAAACAAUAUCUAGCAGCCUUCCCAAACAGAGUUCUGUGGGCAGGUGUCCAGCAAAAGGAGGUGCUUUGUGGCCAGGCGCAGUGGUUUACGCCUGUAAACCCAACACUUUGGGGGGCCGAGGCAGGCGGAUCACCUGAGGUCAGGAGUUCGAGACCAGCCCGACCAACAUGGUGAAAUCCCAUCUCUACUAAAAAUGCAAAAAUUAGCCAGGCGUGGUGGCGUGUGCCUGUAGUCCCA